rnacentral:rRNA from 1 species
GUAGGUGGCAAGCGUUGUCCGGAAUUAUUGGGCGUAAAGCGCGCGCAGGCGGUCCUUUAAGUCUGAUGUGAAAGCCCACGGCUCAACCGUGGAGGGUCAUUGGAAACUGGGGGACUUGAGUACAGAAGAGGAAAGCGGAAUUCCAAGUGUAGCGGUAAAAUGCGUAGAGAUUUGGAGGAACACCAGUGGCGAAGGCGGCUUUCUGGUCUGUAACUGACGCUGAGGCGCGAAAGCGUGGGGAGCAAACAGGAUUAGAUACCCUGGUAGUCCACGCCGUAAACGAUGAGUGCUAAGUGUUAGGGGGUUUCCCGCCCCCCUUAGUGCUGCAGCUAACGCAUUAAGCACUCCGCCUGGGGGAGUACGGCCGCAAGGCUG